rnacentral:rRNA from 1 species
UUUCUUUUAAAAGAUGGCUCGCUAUCACUUCUGGAUGGACCCGCGGCGCAUUAGCUAGUUGGUGAGGUAACGGCUCACCAAGGCGAUGAUGCGUAGCCGACCUGAGAGGGUAAUCGGCCACAUUGGGACUGAGACACGGCCCAGACUCCUACGGGAGGCAGCAGUAGGGAAUCUUCCACAAUGGACGCAAGUCUGAUGGAGCAACGCCGCGUGAGUGAAGAAGGGUUUCGCUCUGUUGUUAAAGAAGAACGUGGGUGAGAGUAACUGUUCACCCAGUGACGGUAUUUAAAUACGUAGGUGGCAAGCGUUAUCCGGAUUUAUUGGGCGUAAAGCGAGCGCAGGCGGUCUUUUAAGUCUAAUGUGAAAGCCUUCGGCUCAACCGAAGAAGUGCAUUGGAAACUGGGAGACUUGAGUGCAGAAGAGGACAGUGGAACUCCAUGUGUAGCGGUGAAAUGCGUAGAUAUAUGGAAGAACACCAGUGGCGAAGGCGGCUGUCUGGUCUGUAACUGACGCUGAGGCUCGAAAGCAUGGGUAGCGAACAGGAUUAGAUACCCUGGUAGUCCAUGCCGUAAACGAUGAUUACUAAGUGUUGGAGGGUUUCCGCCCUUCAGUGCUGCAGCUAACGCAUUAAGUAAUCCGCCUGGGGAGUACGACCGCAAGUUGAAACUCAAAAGAAUUGACGGGGGCCCGCACAAGCGGUGGAGCAUGUGGUUUAAUUCGAAGCUACGCGAAGAACCUUACCAGGUCUUGACAUCUUCUGCCAACCUAAGAGAUUAGGCGUUCCCUUCGGGGACAGAAUGACAGGUGGUGCAUGGUUGUCGUCAGCUCGUGUCGUGAGAUGUUGGGUUAAGUCCCGCAACGAGCGCAACCCUUAUUACUAGUUGCCAGCAUUCAGUUGGGCACUCUAGUGAGACUGCCGGUGACAAACCGGAGGAAGGUGGGGACGACGUCAAAUCAUCAUGCCCCUUAUGACCUGGGCUACACACGUGCUACAAUGGAUGGUACAACGAGUUGCGAAACCGCGAGGUUUAGCUAAUCUCUUAAAACCAUUCUCAGUUCGGACUGUAGGCUGCAACUCGCCUACACGAAGUCGGAAUCGCUAGUAAUCGCGGAUCAGCAUGCCGCGGUGAAUACGUUCCCGGGCCUUGUACACACCGCCCGUCACACCAUGAGAGUUUGUAACACCCA